rnacentral:ncRNA from 2 species
UUCUUAUCGUGAGAGGUGGAGGGAAAGGCCCUGCGAAACCUCAGCAACCAGCCUGCGUGGGGCAGGUCAGGUGCUAAUUCCUGCGGACCGGGUGUCCGUAAAGAUAAGAA